AAUCGGAAAUUUCAUUCUUUCCAUUGCCACGGCAACGCCUUUACCUGAACUGACGUGGAAACGAGAAUUAACACCAUUCGGUGGACGAAUUACGGUAUUUUCUAACAUCGCUCCGCUAAAGGUGAACGCAAUGUACGCACACACCCUGGAUGGAGUAAGG